ACUAUAUUCUCUCCGUCCUGAAAUACUUGUCGAAGAAAUGAAUGUAUCUAGAUGUAUUUUAGUUUUAGAUACAUUCAAUUUUAUCUAUUUCUGCAACAAGUAAUUUCGGACGAAGGAAGUAUUAG
rfam:Triticum aestivum genome assembly, contig: Triticum_aestivum_CS42_TGACv1_scaffold_592803_7BS